rnacentral:rRNA from 1 species
GUGGGGAAUAUUGGACAAUGGGCGAAAGCCUGAUCCAGCCAUGCCGCGUGUGUGAAGAAGGUCUUCGGAUUGUAAAGCACUUUAAGUUGGGAGGAAGGGCAGUAAGUUAAUACCUUGCUGUUUUGACGUUACCGACAGAAUAAGCUCCGGCUAACUUCGUGCCAGCAGCCGCGGUAAUACGAAGGGUGCAAGCGUUAAUCGGAAUUACUGGGCGUAACGCGCGCGUAGGUGGUUUUGUAAGUUGGAGGUGAAAUCCCCGGGCUCAACCUGGGAACUGCCUCCAAAACUGCAUGACUAGAGUACGGUAGAGGGUAGUGGAGUUUCCUGUGUAGCGGUGAAAUGCGUAGAUAUAGGAAGGAACACCAGUGGCGAAGGCGACUACCUGGACUGAUACUGACACUGAGGUACGAAAGCGUGGGGAGCAAACAGGAUUAGAUACCCCUGUAGUCC